rnacentral:rRNA from 1 species
AAAACCUACGGGACGCAGCAGUGGGGGAUAUUGGACAAUGGGGGAAACCCUGAUCCAGCGAUGCCGCGUGAGGGAAGAAGGUUUUCGGAUUGUAAACCUCUGUGGAGGAGGACGAUAAUGACGGUACCCCUUUAGGAAGCCACGGCUAACUACGUGCCAGCAGCCGCGGUAAUACGUAGGUGGCGAGCGUUGUCCGGAAUUACUGGGUGUAAAGGGAGUGUAGGCGGGAAAGGAAAUCAGAAGUGAAA